CAAGCUUCAGUCAUCACUCGUGUGCUGUGUCACAACUUAGUCAAUGCAGCUGUGAAGCAGUGGCCAUCAAAGCACUGCACAACAGAACCACUCCAUACAAUGCAAUGAACUAGCCAUAAUAUCAAAUUCUUGUGUUUCUCUUAGGGGAAUGAAAGGAUUGGCACCUUUUACUGAGAACAGUCAGUCUAAGAACCUUUCAAAGCGAACCACGUACUUCAUACGUGGACAGGUAUUGUCCGAGAGAGGAGGCAAGAAACAGCGAUGGUGCGUGAGAGGAAGUUGACCAAUCAAGCACGGAAGGAGGUACUCACCAACCAUCUUAAUGGGCAGCUUGAGAGCCGCCACAGCUGCAAAGGUGGCAACAACGCAGGCAGCACCGGUCAUGUCGGCCUUCAUCCGGUCCAUGUUGGCCGAUGGCUUCAGGGAGAUGCCACCGCUGUCA